UGAACGAUGCCAUGUUGAAAUAUUGUGUUUUAAACUUUUGUUUCAUGAAUGAUUAAUAAGAUAUGAAUGUUUCUCAAUAUUAUAAUAUAUAAAAGUCAAAAAUUCAAUGUUUUAUAAAUCAUCGUCUUUACCUCUAUACAAGCUAUUGUAUAAGAGUUAUUUUUUGGUGGGUAACCAAAAAAUAACUCUUAUACAAGAGUGCACACGCUGAAAUGUCUCGCCUUUUCUAACCAUUAAUAUUAUGUUGAUAGUCCUAAAUAGAAAGCUUUACUUCAACUAUUAUAUAUCCUAGAAAAUGAGGUCAAGAUCAUAUAAACUAAACGAGAAAUACGCCUACACCUAACAAUCAUUCAAUACACUAAAUAUAGUUGACCUAUUGCUUAUAUUUUCUUAUAAACAGACUUAAUGAUGUUCGCUGCUCAGUUUCAAAAUAAAUAACUUUUCAUAAAACUAGUAUUUAUUGAUAGGGAAUAAAUUAAGGAAUAAAAAAAGCAAAAAAAAUAUAGGGGUCAAGGUGCUUGUUUUCGAGAUAUUAGCCAUUGGUGUUUUGGCGGG
rnacentral:lncRNA from 1 species